GGGUUGUGAGGUUAAGCGACUAAGCGUACACGGUGGAUGCCCUGGCAGUCAGAGGCGAUGAAGGGCGUGCUAAUCUGCGAUAAGCGCCGGUAAGGUGAUAUGAACCGUUAUAACCGGCGAUACCCGAAUGGGGAAACCCAGUGUGAUUCGUCACACUAUCAUUAACUGAAUCCAUAGGUUAAUGAGGCGAACCGGGGGAACUGAAACAUCUAAGUACCCCGAGGAAAAGAAAUCAACCGAGAUUCCCCCAGUAGCGGCGAGCGAACGGGGAGGAGCCCAGAGCCUGAAUCAGCAUGUGUGUUAGUGGAAGCGUCUGGAAAGGCGCGCGAUACAGGGUGACAGCCCCGUACACAAAAGCGCAUGUGCUGUGAGCUCGAUGAGUAGGGCGGGACACGUGGUAUCCUGUCUGAAUAUGGGGGGACCAUCCUCCAAGGCUAAAUACUCCUGACUGACCGAUAGUGAACCAGUACCGUGAGGGAAAGGCGAAAAGAACCCCGGCGAGGGGAGUGAAAAAGAACCUGAAACCGUGUACGUACAAGCAGUGGGAGCACAGGUUUACCUGUGUGACUGCGUACCUUUUGUAUAAUGGGUCAGCGACUUAUAUUCUGUAGCAAGGUUAACCGAAUAGGGGAGCCGGAGGGAAACCGAGUCUUAAUUGGGCGUUAAGUUGCAGGGUAUAGACCCGAAACCCGGUGAUCUAGCCAUGGGCAGGUUGAAGGUUGGGUAACACUAACUGGAGGACCGAACCGACUAAUGUUGAAAAAUUAGCGGAUGACCUGUGGCUGGGGGUGAAAGGCCAAUCAAACCGGGAGAUAGCUGGUUCUCCCCGAAAGCUAUUUAGGUAGCGCCUCGUGAAUUCAUCUCCGGGGGUAGAGCACUGUUUCGGCUAGGGGGCCAUCCCGGCUUACCAACCCGAUGCAAACUGCGAAUACCGGAGAAUGUUAUCACGGGAGACACACGGCGGGUGCUAACGUCCGUCGUGAAGAGGGAAACAACCCAGACCGCCAGCUAAGGUCCCAAAGUCAUGGUUAAGUGGGAAACGAUGUGGGAAGGCCCAGACAGCCAGGAUGUUGGCUUAGAAGCAGCCAUCAUUUAAAGAAAGCGUAAUAGCUCACUGGUCGAGUCGGCCUGCGCGGAAGAUGUAACGGGGCUAAACCAUGCACCGAAGCUGCGGCAGCGAACGUAUCACUUAAAGCGAUUCAGCGGGUUACGAUUGACGGAGCGAAGCGACGUCAAAGCGUAUACAAAGUCGAGUCGGUUUAAGGAUACGUUCGUUGGGUAGGGGAGCGUUCUGUAAGCCUGUGAAGGUGGCCUGUGAGGGUUGCUGGAGGUAUCAGAAGUGCGAAUGCUGACAUAAGUAACGAUAAAGCGGGUGAAAAGCCCGCUCGCCGGAAGACCAAGGGUUCCUGUCCAACGUUAAUCGGGGCAGGGUGAGUCGACCCCUAAGGCGAGGCCGAAAGGCGUAGUCGAUGGGAAACGGGUUAAUAUUCCCGUACUUGGUGUUACUGCGAAGGGGGGACGGAGAAGGCUAUGUUGGCCGGGCGACGGUUGUCCCGGUUUAAGCGUGUAGGUGUGUGUUCCAGGUAAAUCCGGUUCACUUUAACACUGAGGCGUGACGACGAGGCACUACGGUGCUGAAGCAACAAAUGCCCUGCUUCCAGGAAAAGCCUCUAAGCAUCAGGUAACAUCAAAUCGUACCCCAAACCGACACAGGUGGUCAGGUAGAGAAUACCAAGGCGCUUGAGAGAACUCGGGUGAAGGAACUAGGCAAAAUGGUGCCGUAACUUCGGGAGAAGGCACGCUGACAUGUAGGUGAAGUGAUUUACUCAUGGAGCUGAAGUCAGUCGAAGAUACCAGCUGGCUGCAACUGUUUAUUAAAAACACAGCACUGUGCAAACACGAAAGUGGACGUAUACGGUGUGACGCCUGCCCGGUGCCGGAAGGUUAAUUGAUGGGGUCAGCGCAAGCGAAGCUCCUGAUCGAAGCCCCGGUAAACGGCGGCCGUAACUAUAACGGUCCUAAGGUAGCGAAAUUCCUUGUCGGGUAAGUUCCGACCUGCACGAAUGGCGUAAUGAUGGCCAGGCUGUCUCCAGCCGAGACUCAGUGAAAUUGAACUCGCUGUGAAGAUGCAGUGUACCCGCGGCAAGACGGAAAGACCCCGUGAACCUUUACUAUAGCUUGACACUGAACAUUGAGCCUUGAUGUGUAGGAUAGGUGGGAGGCUUUGAAGUGUGGACGCCAGUCUGCAUGGAGCCGACCUUGAAAUACCACCCUUUAAUGUUUGAUGUUCUAACGUGGACCCGUAAUCCGGGUUGCGGACAGUGUCUGGUGGGUAGUUUGACUGGGGCGGUCUCCUCCUAAAGAGUAACGGAGGAGCACGAAGGUUGGCUAAUCCUGGUCGGACAUCAGGAGGUUAGUGCAAUGGCAUAAGCCAGCUUGACUGCGAGCGUGACGGCGCGAGCAGGUGCGAAAGCAGGUCAUAGUGAUCCGGUGGUUCUGAAUGGAAGGGCCAUCGCUCAACGGAUAAAAGGUACUCCGGGGAUAACAGGCUGAUACCGCCCAAGAGUUCAUAUCGACGGCGGUGUUUGGCACCUCGAUGUCGGCUCAUCACAUCCUGGGGCUGAAGUAGGUCCCAAGGGUAUGGCUGUUCGCCAUUUAAAGUGGUACGCGAGCUGGGUUUAGAACGUCGUGAGACAGUUCGGUCCCUAUCUGCCGUGGGCGCUGGAGAACUGAGGGGGGCUGCUCCUAGUACGAGAGGACCGGAGUGGACGCAUCACUGGUGUUCGGGUUGUCAUGCCAAUGGCACUGCCCGGUAGCUAAAUGCGGAAGAGAUAAGUGCUGAAAGCAUCUAAGCACGAAACUUGCCCCGAGAUGAGUUCUCCCUGAGACUUAGAGUCUCCUGAAGGAACGUUGAAGACGACGACGUUGAUAGGCCGGGUGUGUAAGCGCAGCGAUGCGUUGAGCUAACCGGUACUAAUGAACCGUGAGGCUUAACCUUACAACGCCGAAG
rnacentral:rRNA from 1 species